UACGUAGGGUGCAAGCGUUGUUCGGAAUUAUUGGGCGUAAAGCGUGCGUAGGUGGGCUUAUAAGUCAGGUGUGAAAUCCCACAGCUUAACUGUGGAAUUGCGCUUGAAACUAUAAGUCUAGAGGAUGGCAGAGGUAGGUGGAAUUCCUAGUGUAGAGGUGAAAUUCAUAGAUACUAGGAGGAAUACUCGUGGCGAAGGCGGCCUACUGGGCCACGCCUGACACUGAGGCACGAAAGCAUGGGGAUCAAAC
rnacentral:rRNA from 1 species